AGUGAACGCUGGCGGUAGGCCUAACACAUGCAAGUCGAACGGCAGCACAGUAAGAGCUUGCUCUUACGGGUGGCGAGUGGCGGACGGGUGAGGAAUACAUCGGAAUCUACUUUUUCGUGGGGGAUAACGUAGGGAAACUUACGCUAAUACCGCAUACGACCUACGGGUGAAAGCAGGGAAUCUUCGGACCUUGCGGGAUUGAAUGAGCCGAUGUCGGAUUAGCUAGUUGGCGGGGUAAAGGCCCACCAAGGCGACGAUCCGUAGCUGGUCUGAGAGGAUGAUCAGCCACACUGGAACUGAGACACGGUCCAGACUCCUACGGGAGGCAGCAGUGGGGAAUAUUGGACAAUGGGCGCAAGCCUGAUCCAGCCAUACCGCGUGGGUGAAGAAGGCCUUCGGGUUGUAAAGCCCUUUUGUUGGGAAAGAAAAGCAGCAGGUUAAUACCCCGCUGUUCUGACGGUACCCAAAGAAUAAGCACCGGCUAACUUCGUG
rnacentral:rRNA from 1 species